AGUGAACGCUGGCGGUAGGCCUAACACAUGCAAGUCGAACGGCAGCACAGUAAGAGCUUGCUCUUACGGGUGGCGAGUGGCGGACGGGUGAGGAAUACAUCGGAAUCUACUUUUUCGUGGGGGAUAACGUAGGGAAACUUACGCUAAUACCGCAUACGACCUACGGGUGAAAGCAGGGGAUCUUCGGACCUUGCGCGAUUGAAUGAGCCGAUGUCGGAUUAGCUAGUUGGCGGGGUAAAGGCCCACCAAGGCGACGAUCCGUAGCUGGUCUGAGAGGAUGACCAGCCACACUGGAACUGAGACACGGUCCAGACUCUUACGGGAGGCAGCAGUGGGGAAUAUUGGACAAUGGGCGCAAGCCUGAUCCAGCCAUACCGCGUGGGUGAAGAAGGCCUUCGGGUUGUAAAGCCCUUUUGUUGGGAAAGAAAAGCAGCAGGUUAAUACCCCGCUGUUCUGACGGUACCCAAAGAAUAAGCACCGGCUAACUUCGUG
rnacentral:rRNA from 1 species